UAAAUUUUCUCUAGGACAAUCU
rnacentral:miRNA from 1 species